rnacentral:rRNA from 1 species
AUUGAACGCUGGCGGCAUGCCUUACACAUGCAAGUCGAACGGUAACAGGUCUUCGGAUGCUGACGAGUGGCGAACGGGUGAGUAAUACAUCGGAACGUGCCUAGUAGUGGGGGAUAACUACUCGAAAGAGUGGCUAAUACCGCAUGAGAUCUACGGAUGAAAGCAGGGGAUCGCAAGACCUUGUGCUACUAGAGCGGCCGAUGGCAGAUUAGGUAGUUGGUGGGAUAAAAGCUUACCAAGCCGAGGAUCUGUAGCUGGUCUGAGAGGACGAUCAGCCACACGGGGACGGAGACACGGCCCAGACUCCUACGGGAGGCAGCAGUGGGGAAUUUUGGACAAUGGGCGAAAGCCUGAUCCAGCAAUGCCGCGUGCAGGAUGAAGGCCUUCGGGUUGUAAACUGCUUUUGUACGGAACGAAAAGCCCCGGGUUAAUACCCUGGGGUCAUGACGGUACCGUAAGAAUAAGCACCGGCUAACUACGUGCCAGCAGCCGCCGUAA